AUGAUCUUCUGCUGGUUCAUCUGCAUAGUUAGUUUUCAUGGAGUCUGGUCUGAGAUCAGACUGGACCAGAGUUCCUCUGAGGUGAAGAGACCUGGAGACACAGUCAAACUCUCCUGUGUCACCUCGGGGUUUGAUAUGACCAGCACCUAUAUCCACUGGAUAAGACAGAAGCCUGGUGAAGGUCUGGAGUGGAUUGGGAGGAUGGAUGCUGGAAGUAACUCAGCAGAAUAUGCCAGCACCUUUGAGGGUCGCUUCAUCAUGACUGAAAACGUCCCGAGCAGCACUCAGUAUCUGCAGCUCAACCGUCUGACCGCAGAAGACUCUGCAGUUUAUUUCUGUGCUCGAGACCACAGUGUGUAA